rnacentral:lncRNA from 1 species
AAAUUUCACUACUGUUUAUGGGUAUUCACCAGAGCAAGGUAGUUUUCAAGAGAAUUAAACCAAUGACCAAGAAAAAAAUUCUUGUACACAAAGCUGUAUCUGAAUUAGUUUGAAAAGAGAAAAAAUAACUAUAAGGAAUAACUUAUUGCGAAAAUGAAAAAGUGAAACAACCUGUUGUGAAACCAUGGCUUAACUAAAGGUGUUUAGCCUAGUGCAUAUUUCUUUGCAGUUUUACAAGAUGUCUCUAAUAUUUCAUUUCCUUCCCAUUUUGUUAUUGAUAUGUGGCACUAUAAGUCUGCUUUUGCAGUUGUGAUUAAUGAUUGUGUGAAUAAAAUUGGGCACUUCCUAAUUU